rnacentral:pre_miRNA from 13 species
CUUACAGAGUUUUUUGGCAUUCUGUCCACCUCCAUCUGUAGAAACUACAAGUUGUUCUACUUUCUGGAGGUGGGCAUACUGCCAACUGAGCUCUGUUGG